rnacentral:lncRNA from 1 species
GUCCGUCUGUCCGUCUGUCUGUCCGGCGUAAACAUGUCGCACCGUAACUUGAGAACGACUUAUCCAAAUUUCAUGAAACUUUAUAUAGUUGUUUCUUAUGAUGGUCAAAUGAUCUGUAUACUUUUUGGUGAAAAUAAGAUUUGAACUUUUUGAGUUACGGCACUUUGUAACUUAAUUAGGGGUGUGUUUUUUAGCUCACCUGGCCCAAAGGGCCAAGUGAGCUUUUCUCAUCACUUGGCGUCCGUCGUCGUUAACUUUUACAAAAAUCUUCUCCUCUGAAACUACUGGGCCAAAUUUAACAAAACUUGGCCACAAUCAUCAUUGGGGUAUCUAGUUUAAAAAAUGUGUGGCGUGACCCCGCCA